ACAAGCAGUGGAGUAUGUGGUUAAUUCGAAGCAACGCGAAGAACCUUACCAGGUCUUGACAUCCCUUGCAAAGCUAUGGAGACAUAGUGGAGGUUAUCAAGGAGACAGGUGGUGCAUGGUUGUCGUCAGCUCGUGUCGUGAGAUAUUGGGUUAAGUCCCGCAACGAGCGCAACCCUUAUUGCUAGUUACCAUCAUUAAGUUGGGGACUCUAGCGAGACUGCCAGUGAUAAACUGGAGGAAGGUGGGGAUGACGUCAAAUCAUCAUGCCCCUUAUGACCUGGGCUACAAACGUGAUACAAUGGCUGAAACAAAGGGCAGCGAAGCAGUGAUGUGGAGCGAAACCCAAAAAAGCAGUCUCAGUUCGGAUUGAAGUCUGCAACUCGACUUCAUGAAGUUGGAAUCGCUAGUAAUCGUAGAUCAGAACGCUACGGUGAAUACGUUCUCGGGGUUU
rnacentral:rRNA from 1 species